rnacentral:rRNA from 1 species
GAUGAACGCUAGCUACAGGCUUAACACAUGCAAGUCGAGGGGUAACGAGAGGGAAGCUUGCUUUCCUUGUCGACGACCGGCGCACGGGUGAGUAACGCGUAUCCAACCUGCCCCCAACUAGGGAAUAACCUUGCGAAAGUAAGACUAAUACCCUAUAAUUUCCUCAGAUGUCAUCUGACGAGGAAUAAAGAUUUAUCGGUUGUGGAUGGGGAUGCGUCUGAUUAGCUUGUUGGCGGGGUAACGGCCCACCAAGGCAACGAUCAGUAGGGGUUCUGAGAGGAAGGUCCCCCACAUUGGAACUGAGACACGGUCCAAACUCCUACGGGAGGCAGCAGUGAGGAAUAUUGGUCAAUGGGCGGAAGCCUGAACCAGCCAAGUAGCGUGCAGGAUGACGGCCCUAUGGGUUGUAAACUGCUUUUAUACAGGAAUAAAGUUAGCCACGUGUGGUUAUUUGUAGGUACUGUAUGAAUAAGGACCGGCUAAUUCCGUGCCAGCAGCCGCCGCCG